rnacentral:rRNA from 1 species
UAGGGAAUCUUCGGCAAUGGGGGGAACCCUGACCGAGCAACGCCGCGUGAGUGAAGAAGGUUUUCGGAUCGUAAAGCUCUGUUGUUAAGGAAGAACGAGUGUGAGAAUGGAAAGUUCAUGCUGUGACGGUACUUAACCAGAAAGGGACGGCUAACUACGUGCCAGCAGCCGCGGUAAUACGUAGGUCCCGAGCGUUGUCCGGAUUUAUUGGGCGUAAAGCGAGCGCAGGCGGUUAGAAAAGUCUGAAGUGAAAGGCAGUGGCUCAACCAUUGUAGGCUUUGGAAACUGUUUAACUUGAGUGCAGAAGGAGAGAGUGGGAGUCCAUGUGUAGCGGUGAAAUGCGUAGAUAUAUGGAGGAACACCGGUGGCGAAAGCGGCUCUCUAGUCUGUAACUGACACAGAGGCUAGAAAGCGUGGGGAGCGAACAGG